GCAAGGAUAAUCACAAAUUUGGAAACAAGAACAAUUUGUGAAGCCAGAAUUUCGUUCCAGGCUAGCAGAUGUGACUACGUCUGCUCCCCAACAGCAUGGACACCAGACCUCAGACAAUUCCUCCCAGGAGAAGAGAGUUCCAAAGCAAGAGUAGGACAGGGUGACAAGAACCAUGAAAGGAAGGCAGGUGAGCCAGGAUGGACGGCAGGAUUCUCACCAAGGUCACCUGUUCACAUCCAAUCAAUAUUGUUUCACAUACUAUUUUCAAGAACAGACUAAUUACAGAAAGAAAGAAAACUGGGCUACAUAUCACAGAAACACAAGAAACAUUUAAAGCUCCUGGGUCUUCUUGAGAGUUGUCCUGGUGCUGUCAUCAUUUAGUAUUAAUGCUGG